rnacentral:lncRNA from 1 species
UUUUGGUAAAAACACUAAAACAUCUCUCCAACAACUCCUUAAAUCCACUUGCUAUAUUUUCCAACUUACUAAACACCGUCUCGGCACGCGUAUAUCUCCGCGCGCGGCGUGGACUUUGUAUCGCGGAUUUCGGCUUCGCCGCCCCCCUCCCGUGCGAGCGAUAGCCUCUCCAGCGCGCGCCAAACUCUUCCCGCGUCGUCCGUCGAUCGAUCCCUCCCGUCGCGCGAUCUGUCCCUGACUUCUCCUCUCCCCGUUCGUGGUGUUCUGAAGGCGAAGCCGCCAGGCCAUCCAUAAGGUACGCCGUCUCCUCAACUCUCCGUCCUGAACUCGUCAACUCUAUCGCCAUCUGCUAGUCUAGGGCUAGGACCACUGGCGGAGCGAUCCCCAAUCGGUCAACCCGAAGUCCCCAACCCUAGUUGAUCUGCAUCGAGGCCAUCAUGCAUCAGGGCCGGUCGCCGUGAAGGAGCAGCCGAGCGCCCGAGCCGGCACCUCACCACUCCGAGCGUGGACCACUAGGGAGCUAGGAGCGAGCACCGUAUAGGAGCCACUUGCGCCGGCUACAAUGUAUAUUCUGAUUUGUUUUUGUAUGUUGCAAUGUUUGAAUAAACUUAUCAACAACUAGUAAUGUACUCUGCAAAUUUGAGGUAGCAUCUUCUGUUGUUCGUUCAUCCAUAUUUUUCCCACUGUUUUGCUUUUAACUUUUGUUGUAAACUGAUUUUAGAAUGGAAGGAGAAGAUGGAGAUUUGUUGUAAACUAAUUUUUGUAGUGCUACUGUGCCUUUUGUUUUGUCAGCUACAGGCAUAUUGUAUCAGAAUUAUUUGCACUUAAAUAUAUUCAGGUUCUCGGUUUGCACUUAAAUAUAUUCAGGUUGUCAGUUUGUCUGCUCGCCUGCUGUUGGACCAUAGUAAAAAAAACAUCUUGGAUCAUACAAACUGUUUGGCUAAUUUAAAUUGACUUGAUAUAUAGUAUAGUACUAUUUUGAUCUGAUCUUGUGAUUUGUUUGUUUGUAUAAACUUUUUUGUAGACCGAUUAGGAUGGAAGGAGAUGAUGGAGACGCACCUGAUGUCGCGUACGAAGGAGUACGGCAAACACGCAAGAGUCACGGCCCAAUCUGAGUGUUGUGGAGAAAGAUGGGCCAACUUUUUCAAUUUUACGAAGUGAGAAUAGUAACUUGUUGGGGAGAUACAUCUUUUUCCCCUUGUCAAACUAAUUUGCAGCUUGCUAUAACCCAAGAUUUAGCAAGUGAAUUUUACCAAGUUGUUGGAGAUGCUCUUACUGUAUAAAGAAACAUAUGUCUAUUCAUAACCUAAGAUAAGAUAUCCAUAGGUUAGAAAUAACUAUGGAAAGAGAGCCGAUUAUACCGCUGAAGGGUGGUACUAUAAAAAGAAACAUCUGUCCAUUCAUAACCUAAAAUAAAAACCUAUAUAUUAGAA